AAAAAGCUGCUGACACCUGAGAAGAAAUCUUUUGUCUUUUCAGGCUGUUUGGUUGAUCCUACUGGAAGACACGAGAAGUGCUGUACACUUCACAGUUACACUGAUGGUGUUCAAAAGCUAAGGGUCUAUAAGCAAAAUACAGCAUUUCGGAGACGAUUCAAUGAAAGACAUACAACCUGAACAAAAAAUGAGAAUGGCAGGAGGUCAUGCUCAGGAAGGCUAAGUGAACAGU
rnacentral:lncRNA from 1 species